rnacentral:rRNA from 1 species
CCUACGGGAGGCUGCAGUGGGGAAUAUUGGACAAUGGGGGCAACCCUGAUCCAGCCAUGCCGCGUGUGUGAAGAAGGCCCUCGGGUUGUAAAGCACUUUCAGUGAGGAAGAACGCCUGGUGGUUAAUACCCAUCAGGAAAGACAUCACUCACAGAAGAAGCAACGGCUAACUCCGUGCCAGCAGCCGCGGUAAUACGGAGGGUGCGAGCGUUAAUCGGAAUUACUGGGCGUAAAGCGCGCGUAGGUGGCUUGAUAAGCCGGUUGUGAAAGCCCCGGGCUCAACCUGGGAACGGCAUCCGGAACUGUCAAGCUAGAGUGCAGGAGAGGAAGGUAGAAUUCCCGGUGUAGCGGUGAAAUGCGUAGAGAUCGGGAGGAAUACCAGUGGCGAAGGCGGCCUUCUGGACUGACACUGACACUGAGGUGCGAAAGCGUGGGUAGCAAACGGGAUUAGAUACCCCGGUAGUC